rnacentral:rRNA from 1 species
AAAUUGAAGAGUUUGAUCAUGGCUCAGAUUGAACGCUGGCGGCAGGCCUAACACAUGCAAGUCGAGCGGUAGCACAGAGAGCUUGCUCUCGGGUGACGAGCGGCGGACGGGUGAGUAAUGUCUGGGAAACUGCCUGAUGGAGGGGGAUAACUACUGGAAACGGUAGCUAAUACCGCAUAACGUCGCAAGACCAAAGUGGGGGACCUUCGGGCCUCAUGCCAUCAGAUGUGCCCAGAUGGGAUUAGCUAGUAGGUGGGGUAAUGGCUCACCUAGGCGACGAUCCCUAGCUGGUCUGAGAGGAUGACCAGCCACACUGGAACUGAGACACGGUCCAGACUCCUACGGGAGGCAGCAGUGGGGAAUAUUGCACAAUGGGCGCAAGCCUGAUGCAGCCAUGCCGCGUGUAUGAAGAAGGCCUUCGGGUUGUAAAGUACUUUCAGCGAGGAGGAAGGCGUUAAGGUUAAUAACCUUAGCGAUUGACGUUACUCGCAGAAGAAGCACCGGCUAACUCCGUGCCAGCAGCCGCGGUAAUACGGAGGGUGCAAGCGUUAAUCGGAAUUACUGGGCGUAAAGCGCACGCAGGCGGUCUGUUAAGUCAGAUGUGAAAUCCCCGGGCUCAACCUGGGAACUGCAUUUGAAACUGGCAGGCUUGAGUCUUGUAGAGGGGGGUAGAAUUCCAGGUGUAGCGGUGAAAUGCGUAGAGAUCUGGAGGAAUACCGGUGGCGAAGGCGGCCCCCUGGACAAAGACUGACGCUCAGGUGCGAAAGCGUGGGGAGCAAACAGGAUUAGAUACCCUGGUAGUCCACGCUGUAAACGAUGUCGACUUGGAGGUUGUUCCCUUGAGGAGUGGCUUCCGGAGCUAACGCGUUAAGUCGACCGCCUGGGGAGUACGGCCGCAAGGUUAAAACUCAAAUGAAUUGACGGGGGCCCGCACAAGCGGUGGAGCAUGUGGUUUAAUUCGAUGCAACGCGAAGAACCUUACCUACUCUUGACAUCCAGAGAACUUAGCAGAGAUGCUUUGGUGCCUUCGGGAACUCUGAGACAGGUGCUGCAUGGCUGUCGUCAGCUCGUGUUGUGAAAUGUUGGGUUAAGUCCCGCAACGAGCGCAACCCUUAUCCUUUGUUGCCAGCGGUUCGGCCGGGAACUCAAAGGAGACUGCCAGUGAUAAACUGGAGGAAGGUGGGGAUGACGUCAAGUCAUCAUGGCCCUUACGAGUAGGGCUACACACGUGCUACAAUGGCAUAUACAAAGAGAAGCGACCUCGCGAGAGCAAGCGGACCUCAUAAAGUAUGUCGUAGUCCGGAUUGGAGUCUGCAACUCGACUCCAUGAAGUCGGAAUCGCUAGUAAUCGUAGAUCAGAAUGCUACGGUGAAUACGUUCCCGGGCCUUGUACACACCGCCCGUCACACCAUGGGAGUGGGUUGCAAAAGAAGUAGGUAGCUUAACCUUCGGGAGGGCGCUUACCACUUUGUGAUUCAUGACUGGGGUGAAGUCGUAACAAGGUAACCGUAGGGGAACCUGCGGUUGGAUCACCUCCUUACCUUAAAGAA